rnacentral:rRNA from 1 species
AUGUUCUUACCCUGUGUUUCUCAUGAGGAUGCUCUACUAGUCCAUCAUUCUUCUUUAUUUUUAUUUUCCGGUGGAUUCAAUUCAAUAUUUGAUAUUGAGCAUAGUCCUUUCAUUUGUCUAAUGCUUUCUCAUGCCGGUGCACCUCAUAAUCAUUCCCUACUUGCUAUUCAAUUCUUCCGGAGUGCUAAAGACAUCUCAGAAGAUUCGUGUUUUCCAUUGCUAAUUAGUUCAAGAUAUCUCGAGGUUGUUAUCUCAUUCAAGUCAUUUAAUUCAACCGGUGCAAUAUCCCUUUCAAGUAAUCGUUCAACAGUGUUUCUUUUGAGUGGGCCCUAA